UUUAAGUGCAGUGAUAGUUCUAUUUUCUUUGAAUGUAAGCAGAUAAUCAGAAUGUUCUGCUCGCUGGCUGAAUGCAUGGCUCACAAAUCAUAGACUCAGCUGGUCAGUUCUCUGAAUCGCUAAUCUUAAAACGGAUUCUCUGUUCCAAUGGAGACACUUAGCAGUUGGGAAGACAAGAUGCAAUACUCUGGCCUUCAUAAACC
rnacentral:lncRNA from 1 species